rnacentral:pre_miRNA from 1 species
GAAAUUUUGUUGACAGAAGAUAGAGAGCGCAUAAAUUAAAAUGCCAUUAAGCAAACGCAUUUUAAAUCUUUGUGCUCUCUGUAUUCUGUCAUCAACGUGCA